UGUGACAUCAACUCUGACACAUGUAGACUGAUGUUAAACUCAGUCAGACACACAUCAUGAUCAUCGUCCUCUGUAUCACCUUUAACCUUUUAAUCGUUUCAGGUUCCUCUGUCGACAAAGAAGUCAUCCAGACUCCAGCUCACGUUUACCUCAAACCAGGAGAGAAAACAGCAACACUCAACUGUAGACAUGAAAUUCAGAGCUAUAAUCAAAUCUUCUGGUACAAGCAGUCAGAGGGAGAGAUGAAGUUCCUGGGAUAUGUGUUUAUGAGCGGUCCAAACCCAGAGCCAGACGUGAAGGUGACGAUGGGAGGGAAUGCAGAUAAAGGCAAGAACUGCACAUUAACAAUCAAAGAAGUGGAUCUGAACAGCAGUGCAGUGUAUUUCUGUGCUGCUAGUCUCCACAGUGCUGCAUGUCACCACUCAUCAGUACAAAAACCUCCCUUUAUCUCUAAGACACAGCUCACAGCCUCUUCAACUUAUUGGGUGUUAUUACCAAACCUGUGGUGACAGCUGACAUGAUGACUGUGAUGUGAAGAGGAGGAGGAAGCAGCUCAGACUCCUCCCACCUCAUCACUCUGUCUCCUUUUCUGAAAGGACGUCUUAGUGGCUGCUCUGACA